UACAGAGGUGACAAGCGUUGUUCGGAAUUACUGGGCGUAAAGGGCGAGUAGGCGGCCUUCUAAGUCAGACGUGAAAUCCCCCGGCUUAACCUGGGAACUGCGUCUGAUACUGGGAGGCUCGAGUAUGGGAGAGGGAUGUAGAAUUCCAGGUGUAGCGGUGAAAUGCGUAGAUAUCUGGAGGAAUACCGGUGGCGAAGGCGGCAUCCUGGACCAUUACUGACGCUGAAUCGCGAAAGCUAGGGGAGCAAACGGG
rnacentral:rRNA from 1 species